rnacentral:rRNA from 1 species
GUCCACGCCCUAAACGAUGUCGAUUAGCCGUUGGGAUCAUUUAAGGUCUUAGUGGCGCAGCUAACGCGAUAAAUCGACCGCCUGGGGAGUACGGCCGCAAGGUUAAAACUCAAAGGAAUUGACGGGGCCCGCACAAGCGGUGGAGCAUGUGGUUUAAUUCGAUGCAACGCGAAGAACCUUACCAGGCCUUGACAUCUAGCGAACUUUCCAGAGAUGGAUUGGUGCCUUCGGAACGCUAGACAGUGCUGCAUGGCUGUCGU